UCCCCGCCUCCUUCCCUUCGCUCUCUGUGCCGCCGCAUCCCUCGCAGGUCGCAACCCUAAUCCCCUUUGCUCCCGACUCCGACGCUGCGCUGCCAACGCCGCCACCUGAUCCAUGGUGCCGUGGUGCUCGCCGCUCCGGUGAUGACGCGCCAUUGCAUCAGAGAUCCUACUCUCCGCCCUCUCCUCAUCCCUGCGCUGGCUGCUGGGGUGGACCAGGAGCUCGGAAUGCAGAUUUGUCCCUUCACAGCGGCCUCCCUUGCUGUCCUCGACACCUCCGGCGGUCCCACGCCAGUGUCUGGACGGGCUGGGGUCGUCGGAAUCGGAGCCCACGCGGCAAGAGGAGCAGCGCCUCCUAGAACUAGAAGUUGGAGUAGCACUAGCAGGAUCAACGUGAAGGCGCUGCAGUCCCUCUCCCUCAUAGCCAACUCGAGCAAGACAGACAGGGCCUCCAUGCUUGACUAUGUGGCAUUGAGUACCUGAAGCAACUUCAGCUACAGAUGCGGAAUGUCCAAAAAGGAACUAGAAAGCAAACAUCUAACGGCAUUGUCAGAAUUCGAGAAGGGACUGAUUGAUGAGGUACACAUUCUAGAAGCUUGACGAUUUAUUUAUCUUCAUGUCUUCUGUUUAUGUCUCCUUGCAGAAUUGGGAUAAGAUUUAUUUCUGGAUUACUUAACUGAGCACAAGUUAUCAUUGUCAAUGGUGACUUCUGUAGAUUCAGACAUUUGAAAAGAAUACUAGUACUCCUGACACUUGAAAAUAGACAUUCCUCUAGCUGAAAAUACUCUUGUGUGGGAUAUGGUAGAUCAGCACUUGUGUGCAGCUUACAACAAUACUAAAUGGAUGUCGUUUGAAAGCACUAGCUAGCUGCAACUGAAGCAGAAUAAGGGUACACAAAUGCUUCUGUUUGUAACUUGGGCUAAUCUGAAUAUAUCUGUACCUUGGGCUGAAAUUGAUUGUAAGCAAAUGAGCCUAAAUUUCCUAUGGUAAACUAUGUAGUUAAGUUGGUUCCUGUUUUGUUCUCUCUAUUCGGUGCUACAAUUAUUGAUCUGUUGCGUGGUCUCCCAGCUUGAUACUAUUUCUCUUAUAUUCACUACCAGAAAACGGAUGAUUCCUGACAGCCAAAAACCGUUAGGAAUUAUAGGAUUACCGACAGGAAUAUAAUUCCUGACGGUCAGCCGUCAGGAAUCUUCCGACAGGACUCAGUCGUCAGGAAAGGCCACCCUUUCCUGACGGUUGGCCGACAGGAAAGUUUCCCUGACGGGAUUUCCUGACGGUCUAUGGGAGGGGGGGGGGGGUCUGGUUGAAUACCUGACAGCUACCCGUCAGGAACUGUGAUUUAGGUUGUCAGGAAAUCAACUAUGAGCAGUAAAAAAUACACAUUCGGAACUACAUACAUCAAAUUCAGUUUGUAUGUUAGUUCCAUAUACAUGUCCAUCAUAUACAUAUCAGUCUGUCAUCCAGCAAGCUAUUGGAUUAGAAUGAAUAAAUGACUACAGGAUAUAUAACUUUUUAGAUCUACAAGUCCUUGUAUAUGACUCAUGUCUAGUCUUCAAAAGUUACAUACAGAUCAAUACAAUGCUAGGUUCAGAAAACUAAAGUUCAGUUCACCUUUGAAGUUGAAUAAGUGAAGUAUCUCAGCAUCCCUCUUUAAUACAUCCGAGCUUGGUCUAUCCUGAAAAGAAGAGUUCCAAAAGUCACAUAAGUAGAACCAAUCUAUUAUGAUGCAGGCUCCCAUGACCUCUGAAUCGUUAGUAGUUUUGCUCCAAAUAUUUUUCUAACUCUCUGUAUACACAACUCAGCUAAAAAUAAAGUAAACUCGGCUAAAAGGUUAACUAAAGUUCACCUUGAUGUUGAGCUCUAGCAACAUGAAGAUCACCAGCACUCCAUUCACCAUUGUGUUGUAUUUUUGUACCUGACCAAUUGACCAAAUUAAUUGGAUCAGUUGGCCGUACAUGUUCCAGUUGUCAAAACUGAUCAAAAGAACUAGUAAUGAUGGAAUACAGCAGGUAUAUAUUGAGGGAGCUCUUUGCUAUGGUAUUGUACUAGGCAGGUUCAGACGUCCUUGCUAAUCUGUUUUGCACAUGAAUUGAGUCAAAUUCAAGUGCUCUAGAAACUUGACAUCCUUGCUAAUCUUACCAAAAACGAAUUUAUUGAUAGCACAUGGUACAUUAGAGUAAGGAAAUAGCCUAUGAUUGUUAAUUGUAUCUGAUAUCUCUUCAGUGCGAUUGUCAGAAUAUUUGGCGCCUCUGAUAUUGUCAACUUAUUUUUGGAAUGCUAUAAAGAGGAAUUCUACCAAUCAAUCAAAUAGGCCAUGCAUGCCCUGAAAUUACACUCUAGGAUCUAUCAUCUUAGAACAGAAACGAAGUUAGUUCUCAUGCCAUACUAAUAUAUUUCCUCCUAGGAAAAUUUGCAGAUAGUUUAUUUAAGAACAGAAACAAAGUUAGUUCUCAUGCCAUACUAAUAUAAACAAUUGGAUCUGAGUACAUCAUGAUAGUUUAUUUUACUCCAGGGAGAGUGUUGCAAUUUUCAAUUACCUCUCAUAGGCAAGUAAAAGGUCGAUCUUUUUCUGUUGAGAAUCAUAGGAGAAAAGCCUCAUCAGAACUGUGGCUUUGAAAUCAAUCUGUACAGAUAAAAGCCACAUAAAAUCAAAAAAAACAUUAUAAUCUUUAAGAUAUGGUGAGAAUCAUACCACAUCGGGCUUGAGGAAGGCCAUAGCGAUGGCGUUGGACGCCCCAAACAGCGGUAGUGGCGCGGCCACAGCCCCAGCUGCAGAAGCACAGCGCCCCGGGCGAGCGGCGGCGGCCACGACCGCUCCAGCCAUCCAAGGCACGGCGCUCCGAGGGGAGCGGCGGCCCAGGGUCCCUGGCCACCGGAGACACAGCACUCCGGGGCGAGUGGCAGUAGCGGCGGCCACGAACCUGCAGCCACUAGGACCACCAGAGGCACACCCCCUGGGGCAAGCGGCGGCUGGGACGGCGCGACCCCUGAUUGGAUCCAGCCAUGGGUACCUCAGAUCCGGCGAGGAGAAGCCCAGAUGCGGACCCGGUGGCCGGCGGAGGUGAAGGAGCGAUGAGGUUUGUGGCCGGAAGGAGGUGGAAGGUAGGGGAAGAGAGAGGUGGGAGGGCGAGGGAGGGGCGAGCUAAGCCGAGCAGGCCGCUGCUGCUACCCGGACCAUGGCUGCCGGCGGCGGCGGCCACCGAAGGCGGCCUGGGGGCGGAGGCGGCGGUGGGCGGGCGGGAUGCGGCCACAGGAGGUGCGUGCGAGGAGACGCUAAGGAUAGGAUAUGGAUGAAGGGAGUGGUUCCUGUCGGUUGUUUUAGUCUAGACGCUCGGUAGUGGGCUCGGCCUGUUGGGCUCCUGUCGGUCCAGGUUUACCGUCAGGAGCCUUUCAGUUUCCGGUAGUGAUUUCAGCGCCAUGUGAUUCCUCAGCUUUCUACCCCAUCUACUGCUGCCAGUGCACAUAGAGUGCGCAAGGCAUAUAUGCUUCUCCAAAGAUCGGCAGGUGGGAAGACUGAAACUAGAGAAGGCCAUUCUUAGACAAGCAAAAAGUAUUGCUACAGACUUAGUUGAAUUAUACUCGGAUUUGAUUUUGAUGUGUAUAUAUUGAAUAGGACUAUAGGAGUGAUCUAUCAUUACUGUGGGAUGAAAUAUAGCGUAGCUAGAAGCUACAUUGUGUGUACAUAUUCACAUUUGUGUAAACAAAUGAAGUAGCUAGAAGCUACAGUUAUGUUCCAAUACAAUGCAUUUAUUUUUUUA